GCCAAGGGGGCAGGCGGGAUGGGACCAGCAGCAAAUGGUUUCUUUACCCUCCGUGUUGGAGGGGACAGGGAUGAAGGCUCCGGAGCCCAGAGCCAGAAGGAGGCCAGGGAAGCAUGAGCGUCAGUGGAUCCAGUCGCUAUAGAACGCCCAGUGCGAAAACAGAAAAAGCAGCAGAUACGAUGCAGCAAGAUCCUCAGGCCUCACAAGGGAAGUGUCUCCAAUGGUGACAUCUUGCAAAACUAUAUACAAUCACAACCAGGAAACGGACAUGGCUACAGUCCACUAACCUUGUUCAGAUUUCAUCAGUCUUACUUGCACUCGUGUGGAUUUAAUCAUAUGCAGAUUUAUCACACGUAGAGAUUCAUGUGACACGACCACAGUCAAGACAUAGAAGAGUUCCAUCACAAGGAUCCCCUCUGCUGCACUUCCAUAGCCACAGACACCUCUGCUCUCCCACCCCCUGACCCCUGCAACCACUAAUCUGUUCUUUCUAUAAUUUUAUUAUUUGAAGAAUGUUAUAUAAAUGGAAUCAUACAGCAUGUAUUCUUGUGAGAUUGACUUUUUUCACUUUGUACAAUGCCCUUGAGAGCCACCCAAGCUGUUGCCUGUAUCAGCAGUUCAUUCCUUCUUACCACCGAGUGGAGUUCUGUUGCAUCGAUGUGCCAAGGUUUGUGUCACCAUUCAAACACUGGAGGGUAUUAGGGUUCUUCCUAGUUUUUUGCUCUCACGAACAUUUGUGUACAGUUUUGUUUCUCUAGUAUAAAUGCCCAAGAGGGCAGCUGCCAAACCCCAUGAUAAACACGUGUUUACUAUUAUAAGGAACUGCCACACUCUUUGGCAGGGUGUCUGCGCCAUUUUACAUUCUCAACAGGAAUGCAUGAGUGAUCCAGUUUUUCUGCAUCCUAGCCAGCAUUUGGUGGUAUCGUUAUUUUUCAGUUUAGCCAUUCUGACAGGUGUGCAGCGACAUCUCAUUGCAUUUCCCUAUGGUUUUUCACGUGCUUAUUCGGCAUCUGUAUGUCCUUUUCUGUGACAUAUCUAUUCAUGUUCUUUGCCCAUUUUCUAAUUGUUUAUUUUUUUACUGUUGAGCUUUGAGUGUCCUUUAUAUAUUUAGAUACAAAGACUUUGUCAGGUAGGUGGUUUGCAAAUAUUUUCUACCAGAUAUUUGAUUUGAACAGAUAUUUCACCAAAGAAGAUAUAUGGAUGGCAAAAGAGCACAUGAAAAGAUG